CCCUGGGUGGCUAAGUGGUUAAGUGUUGGGCUACAAACCUAAAGGCUGGUGGUUGGAAUGCACCCAGAGGCA
rnacentral:tRNA from 1 species